rnacentral:ncRNA from 1 species
AAUAGUCAUGGGCAAACUAUGUGAAAGCAUAGGACGCAAAGCCACGGGUCUAAACACAGUAUGACAGCCGGGUUGCAUAG